AGAAAGGGAAUGAAUUUAAAAGUAGUCUAUUACAACCGAAGAAUUCCAUGCUAUAGUCGCUGUCAGGUAAAAUUGGCACCAUGUUUUUUGUCAACAAAAAUUUCAAUAUCAGCCGCAUUUACUCAAGAUGAUGUUUUUCAUUUAGCUGAAGUAAAAUCCUGUCCAAAUAUCCACUACUGUCCUACCUUUUAUUGUGUUUGCACUGUAUAAUCCUGAAUGACCUUCACAUUUUUUAAGAUUAUUUACAUUGUAAAACCGCCAUCUUGGUUUCUAUGAAGAUCUCUUAUUCCAUAACAUUCGUUACUCUCCGGUAAUAUCAUUGCCAUUGAUGAUACAAUUUCCCGCGCUUUUUACGUAAAGAUGAUGAAAAGCUCAGAGAGACACAAGAAAAUGGAGAGCAUGUGGAACUCCACAGCAACACUUCCGGUAAUAACAAUGUUGGAUUAUGUGAAGGUCAGGAUUAUACAGUGCAAACACAAUAAAAGGUAGGACAGUAGUGGAUAUUUGGAUAGGAAUUUUCUUCCCCCAAUUCAAAAACAUGAUCU
rnacentral:lncRNA from 1 species